rnacentral:rRNA from 1 species
UACGAAGGGGGCUAGCGUUGCUCGGAAUUACUGGGCGUAAAGGGCGCGUAGGCGGAUAGUUCAGUCGGGGGUGAAAGCCCGGGGCUCAACCUCGGAACUGCCUUCGAUACUGGCUAUCUUGAGUACGGGAGAGGUGUGUGGAACUCCGAGUGUAGAGGUGAAAUUCGUAGAUAUUCGGAAGAACACCAGUGGCGAAGGCGACUCACUGGCCCGUUACUGACGCUGAGGCGCGAAAGCGUGGGGAGCGAACAGG